rnacentral:rRNA from 1 species
AGAGUUUGAUCAUGGCUCAGAACGAACGCUGGCGGCGUGGAUAAGACAUGCAAGUCGAACGAGCUUAGUUUUGUAGCAAUACAAGGCUAAGCUAGUGGCGAACGGGUGCGUAACACGUGAGCAAUCUGCCUUAAAGUGGGGGAUAGCUCGCCGAAAGGCGAAUUAAUACCGCAUGUGGUUGUAAAACCAAAGCCGGGGCAACCUGGCGCUUUUAGAGGAGCUCGCGGCCUAUCAGCUUGUUGGUGAGGUAACGGCUCACCAAGGCUUCGACGGGUAGCUGGUCUGAGAGGACGACCAGCCACACUGGAACUGAGACACGGUCCAGACACCUACGGGUGGCAGCAGUCGAGAAUUUUUCUCAAUGGGGGAAACCCUGAAGGAGCGACGCCGCGUGGAGGAUGAAUGCUUUCGGGUUGUAAACUCCUGUCAUUUGGGAACAAAGCCUUACGUUAACUGCGUGGAGGUUUGAUAGUACCAGAAGAGGAAGAGACGGCUAACUCUGUGCCAGCAGCCGCGGUAAUACAGAGGUCUCAAGCGUUGUUCGGAUUCAUUGGGCGUAAAGGGCGCGUAGGCGGCGGGGUAAGUCGGGUGUGAAAUCUCAGAGCUCAACUCUGAAACUGCACUCGAUACUGCUUUGCUAGAGGACUGGAGAGGAGAUUGGAAUUCACGGUGUAGCAGUGAAAUGCGUAGAGAUCGUGAGGAAGACCAGUGGCGAAGGCGGAUCUCUGGACAGUUCCUGACGCUGAGGCGCGAAGGCCAGGGGAGCAAACGGGAUUAGAUACCCCGGUAGUCCUGGCAGUAAACGGUGCACGUUUGGUGUGCGCGGAUUCGACCCCGUGCGUGCCGGAGCUAACGCGUUAAACGUGCCGCCUGAGGAGUACGGUCGCAAGAUUAAAACUCAAAGAAAUUGACGGGGGCCCGCACAAGCGGUGGAGUAUGUGGCUUAAUUCGAUGCAACGCGAAGAACCUUACCUGGGCUUG